rnacentral:rRNA from 1 species
GAUAAACGGCUGGCGGCGCACAUAAGACAUGCAAGUCGAACGGACUUAACCCAUUCUUCACGAUUGGGAGCGGUUAGUGGCGGACUGGUGAGUAAUACGCAGGCAACCUGCCUGAAAGAGGGGGAUAACACUUAGAAAUAGGUGCUAAUACCGCAUAAGACCACGCUACCGCAUGGUAGAGAGGUCAAAGGAGCAAUCCGCUUUCAGAUGGGCCUACGGCUGAUUAGUUAGUUGGUAAGGUAACGGCUUACCAAGACGAUGAUCAGUAGCCGAGCUGAGAGGCUGGCCGGCCACAUUGGGACUGAGAUACGGCCCAGACUCCUACGGGAGGCAGCAGUGGGGAAUAUUGGGCAAUGGGCGAAAGCCUGACCCAGCAACGCCGCGUGAAGGAAGAAGGCCUUCGGGUUGUAAACUUCUUUUACCAGGGACGAAGAACGUGACGGUACCUGGAGAAAAAGCAACGGCUAACUACGUG